GACGAACCGUCCUAACGUUGUUCGGAAUCACUGGGCUUAAAGGGCGCGUAGGCGGGUCACCAAGUCCGGGGUGAAAUCUUUCGGCUUAACCGGAAAAUAGCCUUGGAUACUGGUGGUCUUGAGGGUGGUAGGGGCAUGUGGAACUUCCGGUGGAGCGGUGAAAUGCGUUGAUAUCGGAAGGAACGCCGGUGGCGAAAGCGACGUGCUGGACCACUACUGACGCUGAGGCGCGAAAGCUAGGGGAGCAAACGGG
rnacentral:rRNA from 1 species